CUCAACAUGAAUUCAUCACUGGAAAGUACAGAGAAUGAUAGUGAAUAUAAUAAGGCUAAAACCAAACUUCAAGACUCAGUGGGAACCAUCAAAAGGACAUUGUCUUCUUCCUUAAGACUCCCUACAUGGGAACUAUGUAUUGAGACUGAUGAAAAUUCUCUUCCUCAUUGUUGUGAUGAAGGGAAGUUUGACUCUCCUGAGAUAUAGCUUGCCUGAACAUUACUGUGUCCUCAAAAGGAUGGCUAGAGAACAUCACUCUUAAUAGUAGGCUAGAGACUCAUGGGAGCAUUAUGAAGUUCAACUGUCAAAGAAUGAUUUAUGUUUUCUACUCAGAAGUCCUACUCCAGGAAUUUCUUCAGAGAAUGACUAAGAGCAGGAAAUAUCUGUAGGAAGAUUCCUCAGACCAAAAUCUCUUCACCAUAUAUUAUACGAAAGCCAUACUCUGAAGAUGAUACCAGCUGUGAUAAGGUGGAAACAUAAUAGAUGGUGCCAUCUCUUCUACCAGCAGAUUUACCAAGACAGUCUUCACUAUACAAGCUGAUGCCUCUUUCCUGUGUAGCAGCAGACACCACCUGCAGAUAAGAAAUGCUUAACUGAGAAAUGCUCAUGUUGGGAUAUCAUCGAUGAAACUUUAAUUUGGGCAUGGUGACUGUUUCCCUUGCUGCCACUUGACUCAAUCCCAGGAGCCUCAGUAGAUGAAAUAAUAUUGCACGAGAAGCUCAAAAUGGUGGAAAUAUUCAGUGCUCCUAUAAAUAUACACUGCUAAUUUUAAAAAUAUGAGAUAUUAUAAAAGAACUGCAUGAUUAAAAAAAACUCAAAGUAUACUUAUAUGAUACAUAAAUUAUGGGCCUUCUCUCUUUCAAGAGAGUUGAAAGUUUCCUACAGUUUCCCCCCAUUAAGGAAGGGUUAUACAUGCUCUUAAGCAGAUAAAUAUAUGCAAAAAUGCGCAUACUUUCUGGGGGGACUUCUAGAAGUGGGAUCAUAUUCUUAUGCAAAUUGCUACUUUUAUUUAAGAGUCUUUUUGAUGAGCUUUUCUAUUUCAGUACUACAUUAAUAUCUAUGUCAUUUUUUGAAUGACUGCAUGACUGCUUUGUAGAUGAAAUAGAAUUAAAUGUUUUAAGCAUUGCCCAUUCAUAGACAUUUAUGUA